rnacentral:rRNA from 1 species
UACGGAGGGGGCGAGCGUUAUUCGGAAUUAUUGGGCGUAAAGGGCGCGUAGGCGGCUCUAUAAGUCAAAGGUGAAAUCCCUCGGCUCAACUGAGGAACUGCCUUUGAAACUGUAAAGCUUGAGGCCGGGAGGGGGUAGCGGAAUUCCCAGUGUAGCGGUGAAAUGCGUAGAUACUGGGAGGAACACCAGUGGCGAAGGCGGCUACCUGGACCGGUUCUGACGCUGAGGCGCGAAAGCGUGGGUAGCAAACAGG